rnacentral:rRNA from 1 species
GGAAGUAAAAGUCGUAACAAGGUUUCCGUAGGUGAACCUGCGGAAGGAUCAUUACUGAUUUAGCGAACCGAGCGUUAGCGAGGUUUUGCGAUCACUUAUAUUUAAAACCCACUCUUUGAACGUAUAAAAUUUUAUGUAUUAAUGAUAAAAAUAAAAGAUCACUUUCAACAACGGAUCUCUUGGCUCUCGCAUCGAUGAAGAACGUAGCGAAGUGCGAUAAGUAAUGUGAAUUGCAGUAUUCCGUGAAUCAUCGAAUCUUUGAACGCAUAUUGCACUUUCUGGUAUUCCGGAAAGUAUGCCUGUUUGAGGGUCAGUUAAAUAAAAAUCGGUGUUGUUGCUGCCUUUCGUGGUGACGCGUCGGAAUUGAGUUGUCUUACCUUCGGUUAAGUGACUUAAAAUUUUGUAUGAUUUUUGAACGUAUUUAAAUUUAUUUGUACGUUUGAGAUAUCGAAUAUUUAUUAGGUUCGGUCAUUCUAACGACUCGUGCCUAUAAUUUUUCAUUAAAUGACCUCAAAUCAGGUAAGAAUACCCGCUGAACUUAAGCAUAUCAAUAAGCGGAGGA